rnacentral:rRNA from 1 species
UACGAAGGGGGCUAGCGUUGCUCGGAAUCACUGGGCGUAAAGGGCGCGUAGGCGGGAUGGCAAGUCAGUCGUGAAAUCUCUCGGCUCAACCGAGAAACGUCGGCUGAUACUGCCGUUCUUGAGGGAUGCAGAGGAGACUGGAAUUCCCGGUGUAGCGGUGAAAUGUGUAGAGAUCGGGAGGAACACCGGUGGCGAAGGCGGGUCUCUGGGCAGUAACUGACGCUGAGGAGCGAAAGCGUGGGGAGCGAACAGG